AUGGUUCACACUCACUUCUCUACUCCUGUUCAUGUUUUCCGUGCUGACUCUGCUGGAGAGUAUAUCUCCAAGAUGUUGCGUGGAGUCCUUGUUCAGCAGGGUACUCUUGCCCAGUUCUCUUGUCCUAGUGCUCAUGCUCAGAAUGGCAUGUCUGAGCGCAAGCAUCGUCACCUUCUUGAGACGGCUCAUGCGAUGAUGAUCGCUGCCUCUCUUCCGCCUCAUUUUUGGGCCGAUGCUAUCUCCACUUCCGCCUAUCUCAUCAACCUUCAGCCGUCCGCUGCUUUGCAGGGUGGCGUUCCUUUUGAGCGUCUUUUUGAUCGUUCUCCCGAUUAUUCGAUGCUUCGCUUGUUUGGUUGUGUUUGCUAUGUUCUUCUUGCCCCUCACGAAUGCACCAAACUGACCGCUCAAUCUGUUGAGUGUGUCUUCUUAGGCUACAGUGAUGAGCAUAAGGGCUAUCGUUGUUGGGAUCCUAUCGGUCGUCGGAUGCGUAUCUCUCGAGACGUGACUUUUGAUGAGUCUCGUCCCUUCUACUCACGCCCAUCUUCCUCGAUUUUUUCAGUGGAGGAUAUCUCUUUCCUCACUUUUCCUGACUCACCUAUCACCCCCGUCGCGCCUGUGCCUAUUCGUUCCACUCCCUCUGCUUCUCCACCUCUAGUCGAUUUGCAGCCACCAUCUUCUCCGGUCUCCUCGCCUAGCAUGUCACUGGAUUCUACACCUUCAUCUCCGGUGACUUCUUUGUCACCACCCCCCGAUUCUACCUUGGCGAUUCCUCCUUCUAUUGUUCCAUCUUUUCCUCAGCAUUACACUCGUCAUUCACGACCUAUGGAUGCCUCAUUGGAUGAGUCGUCCUCUUCCUCUCAGCCUACUUAUGGCUUGCAUUCUCUUCCUCGUCCGCCUGUUGAUCGCUUUGGAUUUCCCACCGCUGGUGCUGCUGUUCUUGAGCCGACUUCUUAUCGUCAGGCUGUUGUUCAUCCUGAAUGGCAGUUUGCGAUGGCAGAGGAGAUUGCUGCUCUUGAACGCACUGGUACCUGGGAUCUUGUUUCUCUUCCUCCCGGAGUCCGUCCCAUCACUUGUAAGUGGGUCUACAAGGUUAAGACUCGCUCCGAUGGUUCUCUUGAGCGUCACAAAGCUCGUCUUGUGGCUCGUGGUUUUCAGCAGGAGCAUGGUCGUGAUUAUGACGAGACUUUUACUCAUGUGGCCCAUAUGACCACAGUUCGUACACUUCUUGCCGUUGCCUCUGCACGCCACUGGUCUAUAUCUCAGCUUGAUAUUAAGAAUGCCUUUCUUAAUGGUGGGCUGCGUGAGGAGGUGUACAUGCAGCCACCACCUGGGUAUUCUGUUCCUGAUGGCAUGGUAUGUCGUCUUCGUCGCUCUCUCUAUGGCCUUAAGCAAGCCCCUCGCGCCUGGUUUGAGCGUUUUGCCUCUGUGGUCACUACUGCUGGUUUUUCAGCAAGUGCUCAUGAUCCAGCAUUGUUUAUUCACCUUUCUCCUCAUGGUCGGACUCUUCUUCUUCUCUAUGUUGAUGACAUGAUCAUCACUGGGGAUGACCCCAAGUAUAUUGCCUUUGUAAAGGCCUGUCUUAGUGAGCAGUUUCUUAUGUCUGAUCUUGGACCUCUUCGCUACUUUCUUGGGAUUGAAGUCUCUUCUACCUCUGAUGGCUUUUUUAUAUCCCAGGAAAAGUAUAUCCAGGAUCUUCUUGCUCGUGAUGCUCUUACUGACGAGCGCAUUGUUGAGACUCCUAUGGAGCUCAAUGUUCACCUCCGUGCUACUGAUGGUGAUCCUCUCCCUGACCCGACGCGUUAUCGUCAUCUCGUUGGCAGUCUUGUCUAUCUAGCUGUCACUCGUCCGGACAUCUCUUAUCCGGUUAAUAUUCUGAGUCAGUUUGUCUCUGCUCCCACAUCGGUUCACUAUAGUCAUCUCCUUCGUGUUCUCCGAUAUCUUCGGGGCACGAUCUCUCACCGUCUAUUCUUUCCUAGCUCCAGUUCUUUACAUCUUCAGGCCUAUUCGGAUGCUACGUAG
rnacentral:rRNA from 1 species